rnacentral:rRNA from 1 species
GAUGAACGCUGGCGGCGUGCCUAAUACAUGCAAGUCGAGCGAACGGACGAGAAGCUUGCUGCUCUGAUGUUAGCGGCGGACGGGUGAGUAACACGUGGAUAACCUACCUAUAAGACUGGGAUAACUUCGGGAAACCGGAGCUAAUACCGGAUAAUAUUUUGAACCGCAGGGUUCAAAAGUGAGAGACGGUCUUGCUGUCACGUAUAGGUGGAUCCGCGCUGCAUGAGCUAGUUGGUAAGGUAACGGCUUACCAAGGCAACGAUGCAUAGCCGACCUGAGAGGGUGAUCGGCCACCUUGGAACUGGGCCACGGUCCAUACUCCUACGGGAGGCAGCAGUAGGGAAUCUUCCGCAAUGGGCGAAAGCCUGACGGAGCAACGCCGAGUGAGUGAUGAAGGUCUUCGGAUCGUAAAACUCUGUUAUUAGGGAAGAACAUAUGUGUACGUAACUGUGCACAUCUUGACGGUACCUAAUCAGAAAGCCCCGGCUAACUACGUG